UCCGUAGGCGGUGUGGCAAGUCGGAAGUGAAAUCUCUGGGCUUAACCCAGAGGCUGCUUCCGAAAACUGCCGUGCUCGAGGGUGAGAGAGGCGAGUGGAAUUACGGGUGUAGCGGUGAAAUGCGUAGAUAUCCGUAGGAACAUCCGAGGCGAAAGCGGCUCGCUGGAUCACAACUGACGCUGAGGGACGAAAGCUAGGGGAGCAAACAGGAUUAGAUACCCUGGUAGUCCUAGCCCUAAACCAUCAGGACUUGGGGUUUGCCCUGUACGGGGCAAGUCCCGUAGCUAACGCGUUAAGUCCUGCGCCUGGGGAGUACGGUCGGCAAGGCUGAA
rnacentral:rRNA from 1 species